AAUCUCAAGAUUUAUAUAUAUUAAGAUAGGAAAGGAAGAAUGUUCUGUGGACUUAGAGUGGCUCACUGAGAGAAGCUCACAGUGGUCGCGAGGUUAAACAACACAAAUUUUUAGAAUUUUGUCCUAAUUAUAGGUGCUAGAGACAUGCUGAUGAUGACAUAAUCCUUUACCAAAUUUUCACAGUUCUCCCAGUAUCCAUGUCCUGACACCAGUUUUUCUCAGUUAAGUCAUAAAGGUGAUUAUCUUGUGGCUCAGUAUGGCCAAAGAGUUAGAUGGCUAGGGCCAGGUGGGCUGUGUGCUGGUAUAUUACAUGCUACCGAGCGGCCCUUGGACUCAGUGCCACCAGUCUUGAUACGUAAUUCUGGCUGGACUUCAACUCACUGUGAGGCCCCAGACUGGUCUCAAACUCAUGGUGAUCCUUCUGCCUCAGCCUCCUGAGUGCUGGGAUUAUAGGUGAGUGUUAGCACACCCAGCUAGGAAGGACUCACUUUAAAGAAGACAGAUGCAAAAAAAAAAAAAA